rnacentral:tRNA from 1 species
GCUAAUGUAGCUUAAUUAAAGCAUAUCACUGAAGAUGUUAAGAUAGACCCUAAAAAGUCUCAUAAGCA